rnacentral:rRNA from 1 species
GGGACACGUGGUAUCCUGUCUGAAUAUGGGGGGACCAUCCUCCAAGGCUAAAUACUCCUGACUGACCGAUAGUGAACCAGUACCGUGAGGGAAAGGCGAAAAGAACCCCGGCGAGGGGAGUGAAAAAGAACCUGAAACCGUGUACGUACAAGCAGUGGGAGCACGCUUAGGCGUGUGACUGCGUACCUUUUGUAUAAUGGGUCAGCGACUUAUAUUCUGUAGCAAGGUUAACCGAAUAGGGGAGCCGAAGGGAAACCGAGUCUUAACUGGGCGUUAAGUUGCAGGGUAUAGACCCGAAACCCGGUGAUCUAGCCAUGGGCAGGUUGAAGGUUGGGUAACACUAACUGGAGGACCGAACCGACUAAUGUUGAAAAAUUAGCGGAUGACUUGUGGCUGGGGGUGAAAGGCCAAUCAAACCGGGAGAUAGCUGGUUCUCCCCGAAAGCUAUUUAGGUAGCGCCUCGUGAAUUCAUCUCCGGGGGUAGAGCACUGUUUCGGCAAGGGGGUCAUCCCGACUUACCAACCCGAUGCAAACUGCGAAUACCGGAGAAUGUUAUCACGGGAGACACACGG